AGAGUUUGAUCCUGGCUCAGGACGAACGCUGGCGGCGUGCCUAAUACAUGCAAGUCGAGCGGGGUUGUUUAGAAGCUUGCUUCUAAUUAACCUAGCGGCGGACGGGUGAGUAACACGUAGGCAACCUGCCCACAAGACAGGGAUAACUACCGGAAACGGUAGCUAAUACCCGAUACAUCCUUUUCCUGCAUGGGAGAAGGAGGAAAGGCGGAGCAAUCUGUCACUUGUGGAUGGGCCUGCGGCGCAUUAGCUAGUUGGUGGGGUAAAGGCCUACCAAGGCGACGAUGCGUAGCCGACCUGAGAGGGUGAUCGGCCACACUGGGACUGAGACACGGCCCAGACUCCUACGGGAGGCAGCAGUAGGGAAUCUUCCGCAUGGGCGAAGCUGACGGAGCACGCCGCGUGAGUGAUGAGUUUCGGAUCGUAAGCUCUGUGCAGGGAGACGCUUGAGAGAGUACUGCUCUGAGUGACGGUACUGAAAGAAGCCCGGCUACUACGUGCAGCAGCGCGUAUACGUAGGGGC
rnacentral:rRNA from 1 species